rnacentral:rRNA from 1 species
GAUGAACGCUGGCGGCGUGCCUAACACAUGCAAGUCGAGCGAUUCUCUUCGGAGAAGAGCGGCGGACGGGUGAGUAACGCGUGGGUAACCUGCCCUGUACACACGGAUAACAUACCGAAAGGUAUGCUAAUACGAGAUAAUAUACUUUUAUCGCAUGGUAGAAGUAUCAAAGCUUUUGCGGUACAGGAUGGACCCGCGUCUGAUUAGCUAGUUGGUAAGGUAACGGCUUACCAAGGCGACGAUCAGUAGCCGACCUGAGAGGGGGAUCGGCCACAUUGGAACUGAGACACGGUCCAAACUCCUACGGGAGGCAGCAGUGGGGAAUAUUGCACAAUGGGCGAAAGCCUGAUGCAGCAACGCCGCGUGAGCGAUGAAGGCCUUCGGGUCGUAAAGCUCUGUCCUCAAGGAAGAUAAUGACGGUACUUGAGGAGGAAGCCCCGGCUAACUACGUGCCAGCAGCAGCCGCUGUAA